rnacentral:rRNA from 1 species
UACAGAGGGUGCGAGCGUUAAUCGGAAUUACUGGGCGUAAAGGGUGCGUAGGUGGUUGUAUCAGUUAGGUGUGAAAUUCCCGGGCUUAACCUGGGGACUGUGCUUAAUACUGUACGACUAGAGUCUUGUAGAGGAAGGUGGAAUUUCCGGUGUAGCGGUGAAAUGCGUAGAUAUCGGAAGGAACAUCAGUGGCGAAGGCGACCUUCUGGACAAAGACUGACACUGAGGCACGAAAGCGUGGGGAGCAAACAGG